rnacentral:tRNA from 1 species
GGGUCGGUAGCUCAGCUGGUAGAGCAGCGGCCUUUUAAGCCGAAGGUCCCGGGUUCGAGCCCCGGCCGACCCA